GAUGAACGCUGGCGGCGUGCCUAAUACAUGCAAGUCGAGCGAACAGACGAGGAGCUUGCUCCUCUGACGUUAGCGGCGGACGGGUGAGUAACACGUGGAUAACCUACCUAUAAGACUGGGAUAACUUCGGGAAACCGGAGCUAAUACCGGAUAAUAUAUUAAACCGCAUGGUUCAAUAUUGAAAGACGGUUUUGCUGUCACUUAUAGAUGGAUCCGCGCCGCAUUAGUUAGUUGGUAAGGUAACGGUUUACCAAGGCGACGAUGCGUAGCCGACCUGAGAGGGUGAUCGGCCACAAUGGAACUGAGACACGGUCCAGACUCCUACGGGAGGCAGCUGUAGGACAUCUUCCGGAAUGGGCGAAAGCCUGACGGAGAAACGCCGCGUGAGUGAUGAAGGUCGACGGAUCGUAAAACUCUGUUAUUAGGGAAAAACAAAUGUGUAAGUAACGAUGCACGUCUUGACGGUACCGAAUCAGAAAGCCACGGCUAACUACGU
rnacentral:rRNA from 1 species